rnacentral:rRNA from 1 species
UCGAUUCCCUUAGUAGCGGCGAGCGAAACGGGAAGAGCCCAAACCAACAAGCUUGCUUGUUGGGGUUGUAGGACACUCUAUACGGAGUUACAAAGGACGACAUUAGACGAAUCAUCUGGAAAGAUGAAUCAAAGAAGGUAAUAAUCCUGUAGUCGAAAAUGUUGUCUCUCUUGAGUGGAUCCUGAGUACGACGGAGCACGUGAAAUUCCGUCGGAAUCUGGGAGGACCAUCUCCUAAGGCUAAAUACUCUCUAGUGACCGAUAGUGAACCAGUACCGUGAGGGAAAGGUGAAAAGCACCCCGGAAGGGGAGUGAAAUAGAACCUGAAACCGUGUGCUUACAAGUAGUCAGAGCCCGUUAAUGGGUGAUGGCGUGCCUUUUGUAGAAUGAACCGGCGAGUUACGAUUUGAUGCAAGGUUAAGCAGUAAAUGUGGAGCCGUAGCGAAAGCGAGUCUGAAUAGGGCGUUUAGUAUUUGGUCGUAGACCCGAAACCAGGUGAUCUACCCUUGGUCAGGUUGAAGUUCAGGUAACACUGAAUGGAGGACCGAACCGACUUACGUUGAAAAGUGAGCGGAUGAACUGAGGGUAGCGGAGAAAUUCCAAUCGAACCUGGAGAUAGCUGGUUCUCUCCGAAAUAGCUUUAGGGCUAGCCUCAAGUGAUGAUUAUUGGAGGUAGAGCACUGUUUGGACGAGGGGCCCCUCUCGGGUUACCGAAUUCAGACAAACUCCGAAUGCCAAUUAAUUUAACUUGGGAGUCAGAACAUGGGUGAUAAGGUCCGUGUUCGAAAGGGAAACAGCCCAGACCACCAGCUAAGGUCCCAAAAUAUAUGUUAAGUGGAAAAGGAUGUGGCGUUGCCCAGACAACUAGGAUGUUGGCUUAGAAGCAGCCAUCAUUUAAAGAGUGCGUAAUAGCUCACUAGUCGAGUGACACUGCGCCGAAAAUGUACCGGGGCUAAACAUAUUACCGAAGCUGUGGAUUGUCCUUUGGACAAUGGUAGGAGAGCGUUCUAAGGGCGUUGAAGCAUGAUCGUAAGGACAUGUGGAGCGCUUAGAAGUGAGAAUGCCGGUGUGAGUAGCGAAAGACGGGUGAGAAUCCCGUCCACCGAUUGACUAAGGUUUCCAGAGGAAGGCUCGUCCGCUCUGGGUUAGUCGGGUCCUAAGCUGAGGCCGACAGGCGUAGGCGAUGGAUAACAGGUUGAUAUUCCUGUACCACCUAUAAUCGUUUUAAUCGAUGGGGGGACGCAGUAGGAUAGGCGAAGCGUGCGAUUGGAUUGCACGUCUAAGCAGUAAG